UGAAGCGCUCUCACAUCGAGCAAUCCUUUAAGCCUACGGUUGACAACAGGCUGAGGUCGCUUCAAAACAUAACCAGACACUUACUGAAUCUAAUCCUCAAGAAAGGAUUGUGGCAAGUUUAAGCUGUUAAAGCCCAGUUGAUGUCAGAAAAAGGAAUCGGGAUGUGCGCGACUUUCUUAGUUUUUCUAAGAAUCAUUCCCGCUUUGGUGGAUUCUUUGUCAAUUGUACAGGGAUUCAAGGAAAAGCAUUUUGAAGGCU